UCAGGUGCUGACCGAUAUCGCAUUACUGGGAGCUGCCUUGGUCCUGUUCAGCUUACAGGUUUACUUCAUACUGGUCGUCUUCUCGCAUUACCAGAACAUGAAGAAGUCGUCUCGACAAUUAUCUGUUGUUAUAAAAAUGUGAGUGGUUGAACAAAUAUGUGGUCUGGGGAAUGAAUAAAUGAAUAUAUAUAUAA